CAGUUCAACAUCUUGCACUGCAAACUUUUCUAUGGGUUCUUGGGACAAAAACCAAUUGCCCUUGCCUCCUGCCCCCAAGGGUUGGUUCCAUUUGUCAAGUCAAUGGGGGUGCCCAUUGAGAUGCCCUCUGUAGAGUCAUCUCCCAUCUGUUUAUCUCACAUUCCAGGCUCCAGAAGACGUGACAUGAAUUUGUAUAACAUUCGUAUUGGGGACGCUGUCAGAUAUCCGAGUGCACGUGCCCACUGUUCUUGUGGUUAUGGAACUUAUUAGGAUUUAUUAAUUUUAAAAAGUCAGCUCUUUUCUUCCAGAAAUAAGCCUUCCAAAAGGUCAGCUUGGUUUUAAUUAAGAGUGAAUCUUCUUUUGCAGGUUUAACUGUGAGUCCAAAUGGCUGCGUUGACGGGAUCCCACGGCAGUCAGUACCGCAGUGAUUAGUAGACAGGAAGGCUCUGUGUUCAAUAGGGUUCAACUGCUUUAAUGAGAGGAAAGUUCCUGCUGGUGAAAGACAUUUGCUGCAGCUUUUCCACGGAGGGGGCAGUGGUGAGUGCUGUGUGCUGUCCUCUCCAUCAUCCUGUCUUGCUCACUCUGUGCCCCUUCUUACUCUCUUUCUCUUCCAUUCUGGUUUCCUUUCUUUGGUGGCUCUCCCUUCCACUCCUCCCUGGGGAAGGAGACUGAAAAUCUCUCUCUUCGGUGUCCUUUGGAGACCAGUGUCUGCAUACCACCCCGUGAGGCAUUGGCAGGGCUUCAGCUCUGGGUGGUGACCUACUUCUGCUGCAAAUUUUCUAGGCAUUUGGAGUCCCUGCCAGCAAUGUGGAGGAGUACGCAGUGAGCCAGCAAAACCCAGAAUGUUAGAAGGAGGCUGGUAUCUCCCAGAGCUAGGUCAGAAGCACUGACAGGACAUUAAAUAACAAUAUCGCAUAGACCGAGAAACACACUCUCUUCCCAGAUCUAUUUCAGUCCUUCUGAUUGAUCAAAGAGCAAGCCUUAUGUCUUCUUUCAACAGAAAGCAGGAGUGGCUCUUGGAAGUCUAGCUGACGGUGGGCAAGAAGAUCUGGCUAGAAUUUAAUAACGUUUAGUUUUCACUGGUGGCCAGUGAGAUUGCAUUUUCAUUUAUGGUAAUGAAGUCAAAUUUCCUUUAUUAAUAAAUAUAUGUGUGUCAGAAAAGGACUGAGUUUGAAGAAGAAUAUUUAAUCGUCCAUUGUCCAGGCGGUGGUGCUACAUACGGCCAAAUCAUGAAGCAGGUAGGACAAGGGUGCUCAGCUGGGGAGGGGCCCUCGCUGCUGCGACACCUGCAGACCUCUGCUGAGAGCCUUGAGCAGGCAAGGGACGGUGAUGACCCUCCUCUCACAAAGCAAUGGCACAAAGGAUGUACAUGUAUGAAAAAAUCCAUACUUCUACUGGAAAAGGAGGCAAGAAGGGGUCCCAUCAGUGGUCCAGAAAUUAUGAGGUAUCUUUGGAAGACAAAAGAUGAAGAUUGAUGAAGGACUCAACAGCCCAAAAGACACAGGGGAGAAAACUGAUACAAAUACUCAUUGUAAAGACAGAAACAGAUUGAAGGCAGAGAUGAGAAUUUAUUGAAGCAAAGACAAGUACACAUGGAAGAAACCAAGCAAGCAACUCAAAAGAUGGAGUGCCCCACCUGAUCGUUGGCUCAGGGCUCUUAUAGAGGUUUUCAUCAUGGUGCGUAGGAGGGGUCUCUUUGAUGGCUGCUUUCCAGACCUAUCUUGAGGGUAAGUUCUGUGUCUCUCUAGUUUGUAUUCCUAUCAUCCAGCAUUUUGCUGUGCUCAAUGCAGGCUCCAUAAAUGUUUGAUGAAUAAAUACAUGCAUUACAAAAUAAUUCUGUUUUAUAGAAGUGCUGUCUAAAAUUUGCACUUACGAGCUGGGUGUGGUGGCUCAAACCUGUAAUCCCAGCAUUUUGGGAGGCCAAGGCGGACAGAUCACCUGAGGUCAGGAGUUAGAGACCAGCCUAGCCACCAUGAUGAAACCCCGUCUCUACUAAAAUACAAAAAUAUUAGCUGAGCGUGGUGGCAGGUACCUGUAAUCCCAGCUACUUAGGAGGCUGAGGUAGGAGAAUCACUUGAACCUGGGAGGCGGAGGUUGCAGUGAGCCAAGAUCACGCCACUGCACUCCCGCCUGGGCAACCCAGUGAGACUCCAUCUCAAAAUAAUAAUAAUAAUAAUAAUAAUUGCACUUAUGGUGCAUUUAAAUAAAUUUAACUGUUUCCUUCCACUAAGAAAUAUAAACAACUUUUUCCCAUUCUAGGGGCUAGGGUCUGGUCUGUUGGGACCAUCAAAUGCUUCCCCAUGGCAAUUAAGACCCUUUAUUAAAGAAAAGGCAGGUGAAUGAAGGUUUUGCAUUUCCAAGGUUGGAAAAGCAGGCUGGCCCCAGGGUGCAGGUGGAAUUUAGGGCCUGCAGAGGACCAGGGUUCAGGUGUGAAUGGAAAGAGCCUAAGAAAAACUGAGCCUGGCCCCUCAGGUGGCAGGACCUGGGGUGACAGAGUGUUUUGGAGUGGUCUGAGAGCCUAGGUGUUGGGGAGUAGCUUCACAGGCUUGCUCAGGAAGCUGGUUAUAGGGCCCACUGGUGACAGAACAAGAGUGGAUCUCCCAGCCAUCUGCAAGGAGCGAGGGUAGCGAGGAAGCCAGAUGCUGAGAGUUCCCCACCCACCUCCAGAACCUGUGGGCACCUGAUGAUUGGAGGGAAGGAAAGUGAGGUUGGAGAAGGGACAGACAUUGGAUGUUCCACCAAGUUAGGAGAGCAGGUACCUGAGAGGGAUUGCAUUAGAAUUAGACAAUCAAGACAUGACACGUGACACCAUUUAAUUCCCCUAAAGCCAUGGAAUACAGGGACUUAGUGGACAAGUGAGCACUUUCUACCUAGUCAAGGAGGCUAUGGAAGCUGCUGUGUGGUUUGGAAGACUACAGCCUGGAAAAGCAAGCUCAGAGAUGGUGGAGUAGGUGGGUGGUGGAGAGUCAACCAGGCCGCAGGCUUGGACACCCAGCGGGGCAUAAUGGAUGAUAGGGAUGGAGGCGGUGUUGGGAGAGAGGCAAGCUCUUGGCAAGACAUUUGAAUUUGACCCAGGACACAGGUAGGACUCAGGGGAAGGUUUUAAUCAAUGCUUGUCAGAAUAUGGUGGCUUUGGAAGAUGAUUUCAGGAGGUGGGUAUAAGUCCGGGAAUUACCAGGCUGUUCUGAGGUCUGUUAUGAUGACUUAUAAGACAUCCGAUGUGCUUUUAUGCCAUGAGGGCUGGCCCUGCUCAGUUUCGAGUGCUUUGGGGUGUUCCUCGGAGCCUGCCCUUGUCCUAUGUUGCUAUGGGUUGUCACUGAAGACCCCCUGUGAAAGCUUUUGUCUAAAGAUACUGGAGGAUCAAUUUUAGGCUCAGUUCUGUCAUUUUUUUCAGACUCUUAACCCAGGGUACUUUAGGAUCAGUGCUCUUGAGUUUUGCACCAAACUUUAUAGGGCGAUUUUAAGCCACAUGUCCCCAUUGCAGGCAGCCUCAUCGUCUUGAAAGACAACCCAGAUCCCAGGAGCAUUGUCAAGGUCUUCCCCAAACUUGGACCCAGUAGCUGUGUGGUGAUUUGGGGAACAUACCAGGAUGACUCAGAAAUCUGCAUUCUACUUUUGAGCAGAAAUUUUUGUGUCCCUUUCAGGAUACUCCUUGAUGCUGGGAAUUCUGUAAGAGACAUGUCUUCCCUUUGUUUUGAGAGCAGAUUUCUUGCCUUUGUGUGUUCUGUGGGGUGUCAGGCAAUCAGGCUGGCCCCAUUACAGUACUUUGCAGCUGUGAUUCAUGUAACAUUUCAUUUCAAGAAAUGGCAUUUCUUUAAGACCCGGCCAUAAAAUGAGAUGAGAUGAUAAUGUGUUUUUAAAGUACUUACGGAGAGUCAGAGACACAAGUGGGGUCAUGUGCUUUAAAUGUUACAUGGAGCUGUUGACAGCCUGCUUUAAGAUUUUUGGCAUUUAAGUAAAUUACGAGUGAGGAAAGAGGGUUCAAUCAAGUCACCUUCUGACAUGAAACUCCCCGCAGUCCUCUGCGGAACAGCCAUGCCACGGUUCCAAAGAGUGGAAGGAUACGUUUGUGGGGCCUCUUGGUUGCCUUGCUUAGGCUCAUUGUCUGUGCGUGGGGUACAGCUCUGAAGGGAGGUAGUGCUGCCCUCCCUUCACUCUUUUCUCUCUUCCUUUCUUCUUGGAAUUGUACAUUGGGUAAGGGCAGCCCAGUGUUUCUUUCCGUUUUCUGCUACCAUCUAUACCAUCUCACUGAACAGUCUCCAGGUAACAGGAGUUCCAGUCCUCAGCCUGUGGCCUCUCUAUUUGAGGCAGCAUGUGGAACCACAAAGCAUGUGAAAUCAAUUAUUUUGCUAUGUGUUAUGUUAGAUUUGAGUCACUUCGAAAAAUCAAAUAUUCUAUUAUGAUACAGGACCAUUUUUCCUUUCCAUUCUUUUUAAAUAUAUUGACCUCAAUGCUUUCCUUUUUAAUUAAAUUUUUGUUUCUCUCACAAUAGUGUCUGAAUCUAGUUUUAAAACACGUUACCAAAGGCCUAACAAGAAACUCUCUUAAACUUUUUGUCUCAUCAGAAAGCAAUCCAUUUUUUCUUUUUUUUUUUUUGAGACGGAGUUUCGCUCUUGUUACCCAGGCUGGAGUGCAAUGGCGCGAUCUCGGUUCACCUCAACCUCCGCCUCCUGGGUUCAGGCAAUUCUCCUGCCUCAGCCUCCUGAGUAGCUGGGAUUACAGGCACGCGCCACCAUGCCCAGCUAAUUUUUUUGUAUUUUUAGUAGAGACGGGGUUUCACCAUGUUGACCAGGAUGGUCUCGAUCUCUUGACUUCGUGAUCCACCCGCCUCGGCCUCCCAAAGUGCUGGGAUUACAGGUGUGGGCCACUGCGCCCGGCCAGCUUUUAGAAUCUUAAGGUUUGGUUUUGAAAUUGCGUUUUUGUGACUCUUUUAUUUUUCAUUCAUUAUGCUGAGAAUUUUCAGUUGGAAAUGUAUUAUCAUUAUCAUCAUGAUUACUCAUAAUUUCAUUCCCUCUACUUUUUCUGUUUCCCUUUUAAAACUUCUAGUCAUUGAAUUUUUGACUUCCUGGGUUGAUUUUCUGGAAGACUUCUCUUUCCCUUUCCUAGUCCAUCUUUUUGUUUUGUUUUGUUCUAAUAUUCUCUGGGCAAUUUUUAUGAUUCCCUCCUCUGAUACUUCUCAGGCAUUUUAUUUUUUUAUUUUGGCCUUGCCUGCAAGUGAGUGCUAACGGCAGGCUUCCAGGGGCCUGGACAUCACUUUCUCAUUGAACAAUUUAUAGCUUGCUUGUCUAUAAUCUGUGCAAGAUUUGCCUAGUUUUCUUUCUUCCUUUACUACUCUUUUCAAGUUUUUUUUGUCUUAAGUCACAAUUACACAAAUAUGGAGAAUUAUAUGCCUAUUUUCAUUAACAAUGGAAGUAAUUGUGUAUAAUUACUCUAAAUGCUAGGACUUAAGAGAAUUUGUCCACAGAAGGAAGCUUGUAGAAAAGCAAAAUAUGUUUGGUAAACAUAGGAGGAGUACA